AUAAGUAGCGAGAAAUAGGUGAGAAUCCUAUUCGCCGAAAACCUAAGGUUUCCUCAGGAAGGCUCGUCCGCUGAGGGUUAGUCGGGACCUAAGCCGAGGCCGAAAGGCGUAGGUGAUGGACAAUCGGUUGAUAUUCCGAUACCACCAGCAGCCGUUUGAGAGAUGGGGGGACGCAGGAGGAUAGGCUGAGCACACUGCUGGAUAUGUGUGUCCAAAGCACAAGGUAUGCCUCUUAGGCAAAUCCGGGAGGAUAAGCUGAGUGCUGAUGGGGAGCCGUAAGGCGAAGCAGCUGAUUUCACACUGCCGAGAAAAGCCUCUAUCGAGGAUGCUGGUGCCCGUACCGCAAACCGACACAGGUAGGUGAGGAGAGAAUCCUAAGGCGAGCGGGAGAACCCUUGUUAAGGAACUCGGCAAAUUGACCCCGUAACUUCGGGAGAAGGGGUGCCUACCGAAAGGUAGGCCGCAGAGAAUAGGCCCAGGCGACUGUUUAGCAAAAACACAGGUCUCUGCUAAGUCGAAAGACGAUGUAUAGGGGCUGACGCCUGCCCGGUGCUGGAAGGUUAAGGGGAAAAGUUAGCGCAAGCGAAGCUUUGAACCGAAGCCCCAGUAAACGGCGGCCGUAACUAUAACGGUCCUAAGGUAGCGAAAUUCCUUGUCGGGUAAGUUCCGACCCGCACGAAUGGCGUAACGACCUGGGCGCUGUCUCGACAAGGGACCCGGCGAAAUU
rnacentral:ncRNA from 1 species